rnacentral:rRNA from 1 species
GAUGAACGCUGGCGGCGUGCCUAAUACAUGCAAGUCGAGCGAACAGACGAGGAGCUUGCUCCUCUGACGUUAGCGGCGGACGGGUGAGUAACACGUGGAUAACCUACCUAUAAGACUGGGAUAACUUCGGGAAACCGGAGCUAAUACCGGAUAAUAUAUUGAACCGCAUGGUUCAAUAGUGAAAGACGGUUUUGCUGUCACUUAUAGAUGGAUCCGCGCCGCAUUAGCUAGUUGGUAAGGUAACGGCUUACCAAGGCAACGAUGCGUAGCCGACCUGAGAGGGUGAUCGGCCACACUGGAACUGAGACACGGUCCAGACUCCUACGGGAGGCAGCAGUAGGGAAUCUUCCGCAAAGGGCGAAAGCCUGACGGAGCAACGCCGCGUGAGUGAUGAAGGUCUUCGGAUCGUAAAACUCUGUUAUUAGGGAAGAACAAAUGUGUAAGUAACAAUGCACGUCUUGACGGUACCUAAUCAGAAAGCCACGGCUAACUACGUG